AAUACAACUUAGACCCGAAGAAGACAGAGAGGUUGAUACGCUGGCAACAGCAGCACAGAGCUUGGGAGGACACCGGAGCUAGAGCGAAGAGCGCGAUGGGAAAAACACUACUCUGGCUUAAGUGAGGGGGAAGAAUACAGAUUACUGAGAGGGGACAGUGAGGUAAUCCAUGGGAGCAUCCCAGCCUGCUGCAUGGGACCUGGCAAGUGCUCUAGAAUGUUGGUGAUUCUUCCUGAAGAUCUGUAGGAGCCACUGUCCUCACCUGUGA
rnacentral:lncRNA from 10 species